CCUACGGGGGGCUGCAGUGGGGUAUAUUGGACAAUGGGGGGAACCCUGAUCCAGCCAUGCCGCGUGUGUGAAGAAGGCCCUCGGGUUGUAAAGCACUUUCAGUGAGGAAGAACGCCUGGUGGUUAAUACCCAUCAGGAAAGACAUCACUCACAGAAGAAGCACCGGCUAACUCCGUGCCAGCAGCCGCGGUAAUACGGAGGGUGCGAGCGUUAAUCGGAAUUACUGGGCGUAAAGCGCGCGUAGGUGGCUUGAUAAGCCGGUUGUGAAAGCCCCGGGCUCAACCUGGGAACGGCAUCCGGAACUGUCAAGCUAGAGUGCAGGAGAGGAAGGUAGAAUUCCCGGUGUAGCGGUGAAAUGCGUAGAGAUCGGGAGGAAUACCAGUGGCGAAGGCGGCCUUCUGGACUGACACUGACACUGAGGUGCGAAAGCGUGGGUAGCAAACAGGAUUAGAUACCCGGGUAGUC
rnacentral:rRNA from 1 species